GUUUACAUUAUCUGCGUGUACAUGCCAUUGUUUCACUCCUUAGUUCUAAUCCUUAGGCGCCUGUGUGGCUGCACAUAGGAUUUACCAUCAACAGGUCAGACUGCCAUGUUCAUGGCCGUAGUGAUAGCAUGGGCAGAAUGAGAUAUCACCUUGUUAUUCUGUUUUCAGGGCUAGUACUUUUCCUAUUAUUUUUGAGCUAUGGCUGGUACCUUCCACGUUGGCAUGAUUUACGUUGAUAUGAUUUUAGUAUAACAGGCUUUGUCUCAGGUUUGGACUUCGAGACGGAUCGAGGAAGCGACUCGGGGAGCAUCUUAUGCCAAGACGCUCAGCAGCAGCCCGCUUCUACUAACUACCACACCUGUUAGACUCUGUGCAGUUUUACUGUUUGAGACUUAGCCUGUGCUCGGUUAGUGAGUGUUGUACCAUCUACAAUAAAUUCUUUUAAUCACCGAUCCUGA